rnacentral:rRNA from 1 species
GGGGGAAGUACUGCGGAGGAUCAUUAUCGAGUUCUGAAGGGGCUGUAGCUGGCCUUCCGAGGCAUGUGCACGCCCUGCUCAAUCCACUCUACACCUGUGCACUUACUGUGGGUUUUGGGAAAGUCUUUGCGGGCUUUCUCGGGCCUACGUUUGUUUACAAAUCCUUUUGUAUCAGAAUGUACUGCAUCAUAAUGCAUUUAUAUACAACUUUCAGCAACGGAUCUCUUGGCUCUCGCAUCGAUGAAGAACGCAGCGAAAUGCGAUAAGUAAUGUGAAUUGCAGAAUUCAGUGAAUCAUCGAAUCUUUGAACGCACCUUGCGCUCCUUGGUAUUCCUUGGAGCACGCCUGUUUGAGUGUCAUGAAAUUCUCAACUUGCAGAUCCUGUUUUGGUUUCUGUGAGCUUGGAUGUUGGAGGUAUGCUGGAUUGGCUCCUCUCAAAUGCAUUAGCUUGAUUCCUUGCGGAUCAGCUCUCGGUGUGAUACUUUGUCUACGCCGUGGCUGUGAAGCGUUUGGCAAGCUUCUAACAGUCUCGUUAGAGACAAAUACAUUGACCUCUGACCUCAAAUCAGGCGGGACUACCCGCUGAACUUAAGCAUAUCAAAAACGGGGGAAGAAA